GGAUGUGCAGUCGAUAUGACUGAAACAUCUGUCACUGCAUUGAUUGCUAGAGGUGAUUUGGAUGAUCAGGCUGGUGAAGCAGGUGGCCCCUCUUUACUUCACUGUCUUAAGUACAUAACUCUCAAAGCUUUCACUGUCAGAAGAGUAUGACCAUCCCUGACUGAAGAGGGUCAUUCUCUGGUUCGAGAUAGUAAAAUAGAG
rnacentral:snRNA from 1 species